GAUUGAUUGAUUGAUAUGUUCUAGGAACAUGGGGAUAUUCUGAUUGAUUGAUUAAUAUGUUCUAGGAACAUGGGGAUAUUCUGAUUGAUUGAUUAAUAUGUUCUAGGAACAUGGGGAUAUUCUGAUUGAUUAAUUGAUAUGUUCUAGUUAACAUGGGGAUAUUCUGAUUGAUUAAUAUGUUCUAGGAACAUGGGGAUAUUCUGAUUGAUUGAUAUGUUCUAGGAACAUGGGGAUAUUCUGAUUGAUUUGUUCUUCCAGAACAUGGGGAUAUUCUGAUUGAUUUGUUCUUCCAGGAACAUGGGGGUGUUCUGAUUGAUUUGUUCUUCCAGGAACAUGGGGGUGUUCUGAUUGCUUUGUUCUUCCAGGAACAUGGGGGGUGUCUGCGUAUCUUCCAGAGGGUAAAGCUCAGUUCGGCCGACAUCGAGCCUAAGUUUGACCGUUGCUGUUUUUCUGGUCAGACAGACGGAACCCACACGAGGUCCAGCCCGCCCACGCUAUCAGGUAUGCCAUCACAGUCUGGUAUUUUGAUGCUGAUGAACGAGCCAGGGCUAAAGAGAAAUACUUAACAGGAGCUGGAGAGAAAGGAGUGAAGGUGGAACUGAACAAACCAUCAGACCUCAGCUAGUGGGAGAGGAGGAGAGAAGAGCGGAGGCGAAGAGAGAAGAGAGGAGAGGAGAGGAGGGGAGAGAGGAGGAGAGCAGAGGGGAGAGAGGAGAGGGAGUAGAAGAGAGGAGAGGGGAGAGGAGACACCCCAUCUACCAGCCAAGAAGUGCUAAGCCCUGAGAGAGGGAGAGGCCUAAACCAAGAGAGACAGGGUGUGUGUGCGUAUGUGGCAGAACGACAGACUGCAAGAGAGAGAGAGGGUGUGUGGAAGAUGAUUUCUUGUUCUUCACGUUUUCUGGAGCUCUACGUGUGGACUGAUUUCUCAACUGACCUUGAAUGUCAUGACGUCACAGUACUGCAAGGAGAGACUGUCCCUUCUCUGUUUGUGGCCCAAAGGGGACCCUAUUUCCCACGUAGUGCACUAGUGACCAAAAUACAUGCUCAAUGGAGAAUAUCCAUUGGUAUAGCUUUUUAUUCCAGGACUAAGCUAUGGGCCCUGGUCAAAUGUAGUGCACUAUGUAGGGAAAACAGUUCCAUUUGGUACAAAGUCUGUGGCAUUUUUGGUGAAGACAAUGCUGAGAUAAAAGCUGACAUUUAGAGAACGCUUUGAGCUUCAGGAUCCAACCGACCCUGAGAGACUGUCAUUCUGUUGUCUUUUACCAUGUUCUGGUGUUGAGCUUCAGGAACCAACCGACCCUGAGAGACCUGUCAUUCUGUUGUCUUUUUACCAUGUUCUGGUGUUGAGCUUCAGGAUCCAACCGACCCUGAGAGACUGUCAUUCUGUUGUCUUUUACCAUGUUCUGGUUUGAGCUUCAGGAUCCAACCGACCCUGAGAGACUGUCAUUCUGUUGUCUUUUACCAUGUUCUGGUUUGAGCUUCAGGAUCCAACCGACCCUGAGAGACUGUCAUUCUGUUGUCUUUUACCAUGUUCUGGUGUUGAGCUUCAGGAUCCAACCGACCCUGAGAGACUGUCAUUCUGUUGUCUUUUACCAUGUUCUGGUAUUGUGGUUGAUUCCUUAAAGGUACAGAGUCCAUACUGAUGAACUCUGAGUUAACUGUAUUGCGAGUGCGUCUCGGUAGCAAGGCUUCUAAUUGGGACAGCUAACUUAGUUUUAAAAGGUUUAAGCAGAGGGUUCGUUCAGAGUUCGUAAGUAUGGACCCACAGUGUUUUGCAUACACUUGUUGUGUUGAUGCUGUUUAUAUGGAAUAAGCUGUUUUAAGCUUUUUGUUCAAUGCGCUUGUGGAGGAUUUUUAAUAAAAUGAGGAGAGGUCUCAAUUAAAAAGGUUUUUGAUAACAUGAGGAGAGAUCUAAUUUUUAAAUGUUUUUGAUAACAUGAAGAGAUCUCAUUUUUAAAUGUUUUUGAUAACGUGAGGAGAGAUCUUAAUUUAAAAGGUUUUUGAUAACAUGAGGAGAGAUCUCAAUAAAUUAAAAAAAUUAAAACAGUA